UACGUAGGGGGCGAGCGUUGUCCGGAUUCAUUGGGCGUAAAGAGUUCGUAGGCGGCUUGGCAAGUCGGGUGUGAAAACUCCAGGCUCAACCUGGAGACGCCACCCGAUACUGCCAUGGCUUGAGUCCGGUAGGGGACCACGGAAUUCCUGGUGUAGCGGUGAAAUGCGCAGAUAUCAGGAGGAACACCGGUGGCGAAGGCGGUGGUCUGGGCCGGUACUGACGCUGAGGAGCGAAAGCGUGGGGAGCGAACAGG
rnacentral:rRNA from 1 species